UGUCAAUGCAAACACAUCACAUAGAGACUGCCCUUAACACACUGUAAGAUCUACUAACCGUACUCGCAGUGACAGUAACAUACGUACGGGGAUCGAACCCGCGACCUUGGCGUUAUUAGCGCCACGCUAUAACCAACUGAGCUAACCGGCCAUGUGCAGUGCAGAAAAAAUACACAUAAUUGGCCUGCAAGUAUUUAUUUGGUGAGUUUGUCCAUCGUGUAUACUGAAGUCAUGACGACUGAUGUAUUUAUCGGAGUGACAGUCAGGCUUUUUGCUGUUGCCAGGUUAGGUAGCUUUCUGCUAAAUAUGAAGGCCUGUGUACGGUGUGUUUUAGCCGGGGUUUCGCCUGGAAGACUCUGGACAUCUGGCACACUUACGCCACUCACAGACGCCAGAAUGAGCGCAUUCAACACCAACGCUCUCACAUGCAAAUAAAGAACAAUACGUUCACAUUCACCCGAAAUAUGAACGCUUUCCGGCACAACACUGGACAGAGGUAUAGUUCAUCAAGCUUAGGCAACUGUGUCAUGAAGGUCGAACACAACAGACUAAAAAAAGAGAAAGGUUGGUCAAAAAUAGCCGAUACACUUCAACAACCUGGUGACCACCUGGUGUUUGCGUUAACAUAAACCCAUAAAUCCUCUUCCUGGGAGUCGUCUAGUCCAGCCCCUCUUCCUUCAAUUGUCAUCACGUCUAUCACGGUGAUUGAUCGGGGACUACGCUGCAGCCUGUCGUGUCUGUUAAAUAAGCUCUGGCACAAACUUCUGGCUCUGUGAUCACCUGAUCCUCUGUUCGGUCUCAGGAACCCCCCCUCUCAAUAUCUGUCCACAAUAACAUCAUGUCAGUGGCAUGUGCUAUGACGCAUGGCAGGAGUCACCUCUGACCCCUGGUAAAAAUGACCUCACCUUCAGCAGCCCCAAGGUCUUAGUGACAAUCAGUGCAGCAGAUGCCUGACUGCUGACUCAGUCCAGGUCUGAACCAAAAUAUAAAUACCAAAGAUGAAAACAAACCCGAUGGAGUCGAUCCUCUUCCUUCAGGGUUCAGGUUUCUAUAAUCUGCUAACAAUCUGGAGGCUCACUGCAAACAAAAAAAGGAUGGUUAGGAAUUAAAGAAAACAGUGAUCUCAGCAACUUCAAAGUCUGCAGGUUGGAGGAGAAACAUGUGAAUGAAAGAGCUUUCUGCAAUGUGGAGGAUAUUUGUAUGAACGUCUGCAAAGCCAAGAGUGUUUGUCAGGACUGAAAACAGCUGCAGGUCAUUCAUAAAGAGUCCUAAUGGAGGGCGGUUUGUCUCUCAGGACCAGAAAAGUGAUCAGUAACAACACAAAAGUUACACCACAGCUCUGAUAAUGUCACAAGUUUGGACCUAAACUCCACCCGAGGUCAAGAACUCUAUUAAUAAAACGAUUUCUGUUUGUUUCUCUGGAUCAGGUUGAAUCACAGGUCACACAUAAACGAGACCAGCAGCAAAGAUUACCAUUAAAAAACCUCCUUCAUUGAAGCAACAUGUGAAUAUUAAAGCGGCCGCUGCACCCAGAGCAGUAAAAACACUCAGAGCUUUUUCUGGGAGCGCAGAGUGACCUCGUGUCCUCACUUCAAAGCUUCCCCACAGCUGGUUCACAACAUCGCUCUGACAUAUUUUAUGUAUUAUAUGAAGCUGUAAAAGUACGCCGGUUAUCCACAAGCAUCAAGUUACUUAUUAGUGAGAGUCUGAGAGGCUUUUAAAGAGCAGAGAGAGCGCACUGGAGAGACUGAUUUAGUAUCCACACAGACCAUAUAUACUCACAUUUUUAAAAUGAGACGCUGCAGAGUUUGUCGGGUCUGUAAGUAAACAGAAAAGUCUGAAUUAAGUUUGAUAUAGAGUGUAGGAACUGGCAUAUUUGGCUCAUCCUGGCCGACAGAUUCUACAUCUAAACGCUCCCUCGCUCACUCCUCAAAUUAGCGAAGCGACCGCAGUUAUUGAGGACAAUAAGAGACUGAGAUUGAUCAAAAUGACCUUCAUAACAAAUACUUAUGAGCGUUACAACCACUCUUCUCCUCUUCCUCUUUCAACUGGUGUAAUUUCAGCAGCAAAAAAGAAAAACAAAAUGCUCCUCACUGGUAGAAAUAUUUAAAACUGGACCAGCUUGUUGUGCAGAUCUGAAUCAUUGAAAACCCUUAAAUAUCUAGGUUGUACAGUUGGUGAUACAGAUUUGGUAAUGUCGUAUUCUUAGUGUCACUGUCAACAACACAUCGCACAGAGACUAUCAUUAACACACUGUAAGAUCUACUAACAAUACUUGCAGUGACAGUAACAUAAUUAUUGGCCCGUACGGGGAUCGAACCCGCGACCUUGGCGUUAUUAGCACUACGCUCUAACCAACUGAGCUAACCGGCCAUGUGCAGCUAUGAGAAAGCACAGAAUAUCUCGCCGUAAGUAUUUAUUUGGUGAAGGGACAGCUAAUAAACACAAGCACAUCCACAAAAGCUGUCACUUGGACUAAAUAAAUACAUUUUAAAAAGGCUGUCUUAAAAGAAAUUAAAUUCUCGAUUGUGGUCUGAGCCUUGACAACUUGUGCAAAGCUACCCAAAGUUAGCCCUUGCGCGCAGAUAGCUGUGAAACAACUGUACUUUACGAUUAAAUCUUUUUUUUUUCUCAAAGUAAAUCUGCCAUUUCUAUAUGUCCAAGCAUCCCGACUCAUAGCCACGUUAUUAAGGUCUGUAAUAAACCAAACCAUUCGUAAAUCUGUCAAGAUUUCAGCGAUUUUUUUUUGAUCAUGCAGAUUACUCACCUUCCGUCAGUUCCAGAAUCGUAUACUGGAGUAAGAUGGCUGCCGUGUAGGGACGCCGGUGACUCCGCCUCAAGUCAUCUAGCCUUCCUAGCUUAUGGAGCUGUGGACAAACAUGUUGACAUGUAGUUACUGUCAGACUGGUUUGUGCUCAAGUCCUCUUUUUCUGUACUGCUCCAUUUUUAAAAGUUGUUAGAGGGUUCGUGUUUUCUGUUAUUGACACCUGAUACAGCCUAUAGGGGUAUGAAGAUUGCAUAGCUCACCGAGGGAUACGCUGUUUGCACGAGCGUCAUCGCAGCAACUUUUGGCGACUCUCCCUCCAAAUGCGUACAAUGCAAUUGCGCAAGUGGUGAAGUGUAUACAACACUGCUGCGCAAUGUUGGUUUCAAGUACUGGAGAAAAAUCGGGAAAAUUUUGACCUUUCAAACUUCUAAUUUAAAUUUUCUUCUCAUUUAUUUCCUGUAUUUUUAAUAUCACCUUCUGAUCUUUCUGGUUGCACAGCAGGUGACAAAGUUUUCAUGUCACUGUUUUUGGAUGUAUUGCUGUCAAUGUAGACAUGCUGCAUAGAGACUGUUAAUUAACACACAGGUAGCAUCUCCUUGCCAAAUUUACACUGACAGUAACAUAACUAUUGGCCCGUACGGGGAUCGAACCCGCGACCUUGGCGUUAUUAGCACCACGUUCUAACCAACUGAGCUAACCGGCCUUAUGCAAUACAGAAAAAAUACAGAAAGUUGUACUGCAAGUAUCUAUUUGGUAAAUUCGUAUAAUUAUGAUAUUUCUAUUGUGUCUAAACCAUAGACUGUAUAUACUAUGGACCACUUGGUUCCGCCUACCGCCUUUAUAUGGAUUUGAAGCCAAAAAGCUCUCUGUAUUUCCGGGAUUUUUCUUCAUUUCCUGAAACCAGCUGCGCAGUAGAGAGUCGCUGUGAUGACUCUCGGCUCAAACAGCGUAUCCCCCGGGUGAACUACGCAAUCCCUGAAGGCCCAUUGGCUGUGUCAGGUGUCAAUCACAGAAAUCAUGAACCCCCUAAUAACUUUUAAAAACGGAGCUUCACAGAAAAAAAAAAGGACUUUGAGCACAAACCAGUCUUACUGUAACUUCAUGUCAACAUCACAAUCAGGAGGGAGAAAAAUUUAUGUUCUGUGUAAUAAAUUUCUAAAGUUUGUCCACAGUCCCAUUAGCUUUGCUGGCGGAGGCGGGAUUUAUGACCUGUACUGCAGCCCACCAUCAGAGGGUGCUGUUCUCUGAGUAGCUUCACCCAGCGAGGAGGCAGACUCUGGCUGUGUCCGAAAUGGCAUACUGCCUACUAUCUACUUACCUACUCAAGCAGUAGCUACUGCCUACUGACUACUCAAAGAGGAUUUGAGUAUGCCGCGGCUGCCCGAGCGUUUACACACAUACAUACUAAAUACCCCAGAAUGCAUUUCGUGCCGGCCGGACGCAGCGCCGGGAAAAUUUAAAUAGUCCUACCACAAGCCACACAGAACGACUGCAUCCCGGACAAAUUAUAUAAAUUCAUUCAAUAAUAAUAUUUUUUUCUAGCGAGAAAGUAAGUGUUUACAUCACGAUUAUGAGCCCAGUUGUUUGAAAUAGUGGCUGUUUGUAAAUUUGUCUCGGCGUUUUCGGAGACCGAAGCGUCCACUUGGUCGGUGUUUGCGUCAGCAGCCCCCCCUUCACGUUUCCAAAUUAUUGCGAAGUGUUUUCAUCAUCACCAUCUACACGACACAAACCGGGCGGCAGUGGAUGAAAAAAAUCACCCAAACAUCCGUGUAUCCAUGGUGAUAAUGCUAUACACCACCUGCUGGCCGUGUGAUGAGCAGCAGAGGGCUGCAAAAUGACCAACACACAACAUAAUUAUUAUGACCUUGUUCGGUUAUUCCUUGGCAAAUACAUCAUUUCCCGACUACAUUCUUUUCAUGUACAAUGAUAAUUUCAGAAACCAUCAGAUUUUCAAUCACAAGUAAGAAUUAGUAAAGCUCACAUAGAUUGUCAACUGGAAACUCCCCUGUUUGUAUAUUCUGAACCAUGUGCUCUCUACCAAAGAUAAUUUUUAUUAAUCAGAGGUCUGUGCUUAAUAUGAGCGACCACUUUGAUGAUGCAUUCAGAGAUGAGAAGAUGCUCAAACUUGAUGUAAUAAAUACAUCUUUAAUAGACACUUAAAUAAAUAAAGUCAAUUCAUACGAAUAGUUAAAAACAUUGCCUAUAAUCCUAAUUUAAAAUACAAAUAAAUCCGGUAAAAAGAUCAAAAUAUGAUAAAAUGAUGAAAAUUGUGUAAUGUAUACGGACUAAAUAUUGUUUAUCUAUUUAUAUAUAUAUCAUUAUUAUUGCAAUCACAUGCCAUCUAUUUCUUUUCAGCCUCGGGAAGGAGGGCCAUAUUACCAGCUGAGGUGCGCAAUGCAUUGUGGGGCAGAAGCAGUACUGAAGCAAGCUCCGUUGCACACUCAGAAAUCGAAGCCGAUUGAGUAUACAUCCGGGCAUUUCUCGCAUACACAAAAUUCGCAUACUGUACAGUGUGAAUACUCAAUUCAGAGGCGGGGUUAGUAGGAGUAGUAGGAGUAGUAGGCCAUUUCGGACACAGCCUCUGUCCAUCUUAUAUACAGUCUAUGGACUUUACCCAGUGAGGAGGAAGAUGGUCUAUGGUCAAUGUCGAUAUGCUGCAUAUAGACUGUCAAUUAACACACCGGUAACAUCUCCUCACCCAACUUGCAGUGACAGUAACAUAAUUAUUGGCCCGUACGGGGAUCGAACCCGCGACCUUGGCGUUAUUAGCACCACGCUCUAACCAACUGAGCUAACCGGCCAUGU